UACGAGGGGGGCAAGCGUUGUUCGGAAUUAUUGGGCGUAAAGGGCGCGUAGGCGGUGCGGUAAGUCACCUGUGAAACCUCUAGGCUUAACCUAGAGCCUGCAGGCGAAACUGCCGUGCUUGAGGGUGGGAGAGGUGCGUGGAACUGCGAGUGUAGAGGUGAAAUUCGUAGAUAUUCGCAAGAACACCAGUGGCGAAGGCGGCUCACUGGCCCGGUACUGACGCUGAGGUGCGAAAGCGUGGGGAGCAAACAGG
rnacentral:rRNA from 1 species